GAUGAACGCUGGCGGCGUGCUUAACACAUGCAAGUCGAACGAAGCACUUUAGACAGAAGCCUUCGGGCGGAAGACUUUGGUGACUUAGUGGCGGACGGGUGAGUAACGCGUGGGUAACCUGCCCUGUACCGGGGGACAACAGUUGGAAACGACUGCUAAUACCGCAUAAGCGCACAGCAUCGCAUGAUGCAGUGUGAAAAACUCCGGUGGUACAGGAUGGACCCCGCGUCUGAUUAGCUAGUUGGUGAGGUAACGGCUUACCAAGGCAACGAUCAGUAGCCGACUUGAGAGAGUGAUCGGCCACAUUGGGACUGAGACACGGCCCAAACUCCUACGGGAGGCAGCAGUGGGGAAUAUUGCCACAAUGGGGGAAACCCUGAUGCAGCGACGCCGCGUGAAGGAAGAAGUAUUCGGUAUGUAAAGCUCUAUCAGCAGGAAGAAAAAAAUGACGGUACCCUGACUAAGAAGCCCCCGGCUAACUACGUGCCAGCA
rnacentral:rRNA from 1 species